CUCACCUAGUCUAAGCUAAGAAAAAAAUUAAUUGCUAAACUAAGAUAAAUUUUCGGAUGAAAGAAAUGGAAGUUGGGGUGAGGAAGAAAGGAGGAGAUAGGAGGAAGAGAAGAAGAGAGUUUCUAAGGAACGGGAGAGAACCCGACCACCUCUGAAGGGUAAUUUCGUCCUUUUAGCUUCUUGGAUACGAGAUGUUGCAGGUUUCAAUGCAAAUUCUGAGGAAGGAGAAGUUCCACCAAAGGACUAGAUCAGUGUUGUUAGAUACUGUUUGUAAAAUUAUUAAGGAAUAAGUUGUGUGUUAUAUUACUGUAGUGUGUGUAACUAACUUUGAGCUACUGUGACUCUGACUUUGUACUUAUUAAAAUAAGUUUGUAAUAUUAUUGACUCUAUUUCUAUCA